GAUGAACGCUGGCGGCGUGCCUAAUACAUGCAAGUCGAGCGAACGGACGAGAAGCUUGCUUCUCUGAUGUUAGCGGCGGACGGGUGAGUAACACGUGGAUAACCUACCUAUAAGACUGGGAUAACUUCGGGAAACCGGAGCUAAUACCGGAUAAUAUUUUGAACCGCAUGGUUCAAAAGUGAAAGACGGUCUUGCUGUCACUUAUAGAUGGAUCCGCGCUGCAUUAGCUAGUUGGUAAGGUAACGGCUUACCAAGGCAACGAUGCAUAGCCGACCUGAGAGGGUGAUCGGCCACGCGGGGGCUGAGAGGCGGUCCAGAACCCUGCGGGAGGCAGCAGUAGGGAAUCUUCCGCUAUGGGCGAAAGCCUGACGGAGCAACGCCGCGUGAUGGAUGAAGGUCUUCGGAUCGUAAAACUCUGUUAUUAGGGAAGAACAUAUGUGUAAGUAACUGUGGACAUCUUGACGGUACCUAGUCAGAAAGCCACGGCUAACUACGUG
rnacentral:rRNA from 1 species